rfam:Schistosoma margrebowiei strain Zambia genome assembly, scaffold: SMRZ_contig0002441
AUCAAGAUGACGAGUUCCAAAUAGGACGAAACACUCGUCCUAGAU